GGAGGCAGCAGAGACUCUGCUCUCCUCAUUUGGAUUAAUUCUGAUAUAAUAACUGCUGGUUUAUUUAUCGGUGGAGCAGCAGAACAUUUUCCACAGACAGUUUUCCUGCCCGUUGGCUUGUUUUAACCAGUUUUCUACCUUCGGCUGAUUCUACCAGCAGACACUGAAAGGACUCUGAUUGUUCAAGUGAAAGUAGCAGUUCCUCCUUAAGGUCAGAGAUUGCAGCAUCUGAGGGCCUCUUCAAAAGAAGACGUAGUUGAUGAAGGCGUUCUGGAGCAGAACCAGAAAGACCACGACCAAGCAGCCUUGGGAUCUUAGGCAGCGUCUCCGUCAGGUCCCUCUCUAUCUCCCCACACAUCCACCAACCACUGGAACACAUCUCCAAAGUUCUGCCGGGUCAGCUCAGCUUCCCCUCAGAAGAAGUGCCGCCACCUGCCAGAUGAAGGAGCCUUUUGAGAGGCAGCUGGCAUCGUGAUUGGACUGUACUUUGGUCUGUUCCAAUCCAGCUUCAGCUCCAGAGACGGCAGGCGGGACGAGUCAACGGAGGCCGGAUGGACGAAGGCAUGCAGCUGAGUACAAUCCAGAAAACAACAGAGGAGGAGUGCAGCGGCUCAGGGCCAGAACACACAGAGUAGCAUCGUAUGUCUCUUAGAAAACAUCAUAGUAUAGCCUUUGGUAUGAAAAAACGCCAUCAUAUACAUCGUAUAUUGUACAAAUAACAAGUCAAAGGAAAGAGACAUACAUUGUAGAAUUGUAGUAAUUGUGGGCUGACUGAUUUACUGAUUAUCAGUAUUUUAUUUUUUACUGAUUUACGGUAAUAAAUGAAUUUAAAAAUGGCGCUACUUUGGCUCUGAA